UUUGCGGAGAGUUUGAUCCUGGCUCAGGAUGAACGCUGGCGGCGUGCCUAAUACAUGCAAGUCGAACGAGGAGCCUUGACACUUGUAUUCGUACUCGUGUUAGGGAUUUCCUAGUGGCGAACGGGUGAGUAACGCGUUGGUGACCUGCCCCAAAGAGAGGAAUAACAGCUCGAAAGGGCUGCUAAUACCUCAUGUGGUCAUGAGAUUUAGAAACUCAUGUCUAAAGGAGUAAUCCACUUUGGGAGGGACCUGCGUCCCAUCAGCUAGUUGGUAAGGUAACGGCUUACCAAGGCGACGACGGGU
rnacentral:rRNA from 1 species